rnacentral:rRNA from 1 species
GGAGGGUGCAAGCGUUGUUCGGAAUCACUGGGCGUAAAGCGCGUGUAGGCGGUCUCCUAAGUCUGGUGUGAAAGCCCGGGGCUUACCCCCGGAAGUGCACUGGAUACUGGGAAACUAGAGUACCGGAGAGGAGGGUGGAAUUCCUGGUGUAGCGGUGAAAUGCGUAGAUAUCAGGAAGAACACCGGUGGCGAAGGCGGCCCUCUGGACGGAUACUGACGCUGAGACGCGAAAGCGUGGGGAGCAAACAGGAUUAGAUACCCUGGUAGUCCACGCUGUAAACGAUGGGCACUAGGUGCUCGGGGUAUUGACCCCCUGGGUGCCGUAGCUAACGCAUUAAGUGCCCCGCCUGGGGACUACGGCCGCAAGGCUAAA